rnacentral:rRNA from 1 species
GACGAACGCUGGCGGCAGGCCUAACACAUGCAAGUCGAGCGCCCUGCAAGGGGAGCGGCGGACGGGUGAGUAACGCGUGGGAAUUUUUCCUGGAGUACGGAACAACCGAGGGAAACUUCGGCUAAUACCGUAUGAUGCCGAGAGGCCAAAGAUUUAUCGCUCUGGGGUGAGCCCGCGUCAGAUUAGGUAGUUGGUGGGGUAAUGGCCUACCAAGCCUGCGAUCUGUAGCUGGUCNGAGAGGACGAUCAGCCACACUGGGACUGAGACACGGCCCAGACUCCUACGGGAGGCAGCAGUGGGGAAUCUUGCGCAAUGGGCGAAAGCCUGACGCAGCCAUGCCGCGUGAGUGAAGAAGGUCUUAGGAUUGUAAAGCUCUUUCGCUCGUGACGAUGAUGACGGUAACGAGAGAAGAAGCCCCGGCUAACUUCGUGCCAGCCGCCGCGGUAAG